AUUGAACGCUGGCGGCAGGCCUAACACAUGCAAGUCGGGCGAGCGGCGGACGGGUGAGUAAUGUAUGGGGAUCUGCCUGAUGGAGGGGGAUAACUACUGGAAACGGUAGCUAAUACCGCAUACCAUCGGAUGAGCCCAAAUGGGAUUAGGUAGUUGGUGAGGUAAAGGCUCACCAAGCCGACGAUCCCUAGCGGGUCUGAGAGGAUGACCAGCCAAACUGGAACUGAGACACGGCCCGGACUCCUACGGAAGGCAGCAGUGGGGAAUAUUGCGAAAGGGGGGCAACCCUGACGCAGCAAUGCCGCGUGAAUGAAGAAGGCCUUCGGGUUGUAAAGUUCUUUCAGUAGCGAGGCGUUAACAGCAGAAGAAGCACCGGCUAACUCCGUGCCAGCCGCCGCGGUAAUAC
rnacentral:rRNA from 1 species